CCCAUCUUAAGUAAAAAUGAACAUUGUAAAAUUUUCUAACUACUGUAUUUCUACAGAGAACAACAAUUUUUCAAUACUUGAAAAAUAAGGUAAAACACAAAAAGCAUAAACUAUUGAAAAGCUGAUAAACUGGGACUUCAUCAAAAUUAACAUAUGUUCUUCAAAAGACACUAUUAAGUUACUCUGCUGUGAGGGUUUUAAGAGAUCCCAGCCAAGAGCCAGAAUCAAAUGCAAGACAGAUGACUGGGAAAACCUUCAAGCUGACUACAGACCUGCAACUGCCUGACUGCAACUGCAGGAGAGAACUUGAAUGAGAACGAGAUGCUGAGCCUAACCACUUCUCUGAAUCUUUAGAGGCACCUUUUGUUCAUCUAACUCAAGGACACAGGCUCCAGGAGGAUCUGCCAUUAUGUAGCUUACCCAUCUGGCUGGCAGAAGGGGAAAAUGAAGGAACACAU